GCCGGAAUAGCUCAGUGGUAGAGCGCAUCACUCGUACCCUACUGCGACAUGAUGAGGUCCACGGUUCAAUCCCGUGUUUCGGCA